GGGUUGUGAGGUUAAGCGACUAAGCGUACACGGUGGAUGCCCUGGCAGUCAGAGGCGAUGAAGGACGUGCUAAUCUGCGAUAAGCGUCGGUAAGGUGAUAUGAACCGUUAUAACCGGCGAUUUCCGAAUGGGGAAACCCAGUGUGAUUCGUCACACUAUCAUUAACUGAAUCCAUAGGUUAAUGAGGCGAACCGGGGGAACUGAAACAUCUAAGUACCCCGAGGAAAAGAAAUCAACCGAGAUUCCCCCAGUAGCGGCGAGCGAACGGGGAGGAGCCCAGAGCCUGAAUCAGUGUGUGUGUUAGUGGAAGCGUCUGGAAAGGCGCGCGAUACAGGGUGACAGCCCCGUACACAAAAAUGCACAUGCUGUGAGCUCGAUGAGUAGGGCGGGACACGUGGUAUCCUGUCUGAAUAUGGGGGGACCAUCCUCCAAGGCUAAAUACUCCUGACUGACCGAUAGUGAACCAGUACCGUGAGGGAAAGGCGAAAAGAACCCCGGCGAGGGGAGUGAAAAAGAACCUGAAACCGUGUACGUACAAGCAGUGGGAGCACGCUUAGGCGUGUGACUGCGUACCUUUUGUAUAAUGGGUCAGCGACUUAUAUUCUGUAGCAAGGUUAACCGAAUAGGGGAGCCGAAGGGAAACCGAGUCUUAACUGGGCGUUAAGUUGCAGGGUAUAGACCCGAAACCCGGUGAUCUAGCCAUGGGCAGGUUGAAGGUUGGGUAACACUAACUGGAGGACCGAACCGACUAAUGUUGAAAAAUUAGCGGAUGACUUGUGGCUGGGGGUGAAAGGCCAAUCAAACCGGGAGAUAGCUGGUUCUCCCCGAAAGCUAUUUAGGUAGCGCCUCGUGAAUUCAUCUCCGGGGGUAGAGCACUGUUUCGGCAAGGGGGUCAUCCCGACUUACCAACCCGAUGCAAACUGCGAAUACCGGAGAAUGUUAUCACGGGAGACACACGGCGGGUGCUAACGUCCGUCGUGAAGAGGGAAACAACCCAGACCGCCAGCUAAGGUCCCAAAGUCAUGGUUAAGUGGGAAACGAUGUGGGAAGGCCCAGACAGCCAGGAUGUUGGCUUAGAAGCAGCCAUCAUUUAAAGAAAGCGUAAUAGCUCACUGGUCGAGUCGGCCUGCGCGGAAGAUGUAACGGGGCUAAACCAUGCACCGAAGCUGCGGCAGCGACACUAUGUGUUGUUGGGUAGGGGAGCGUUCUGUAAGCCUGCGAAGGUGUGCUGUGAGGCAUGCUGGAGGUAUCAGAAGUGCGAAUGCUGACAUAAGUAACGAUAAAGCGGGUGAAAAGCCCGCUCGCCGGAAGACCAAGGGUUCCUGUCCAACGUUAAUCGGGGCAGGGUGAGUCGACCCCUAAGGCGAGGCCGAAAGGCGUAGUCGAUGGGAAACAGGUUAAUAUUCCUGUACUUGGUGUUACUGCGAAGGGGGGACGGAGAAGGCUAUGUUGGCCGGGCGACGGUUGUCCCGGUUUAAGCGUGUAGGCUGGUUUUCCAGGCAAAUCCGGAAAAUCAAGGCUGAGGCGUGAUGACGAGGCACUACGGUGCUGAAGCAACAAAUGCCCUGCUUCCAGGAAAAGCCUCUAAGCAUCAGGUAACAUCAAAUCGUACCCCAAACCGACACAGGUGGUCAGGUAGAGAAUACCAAGGCGCUUGAGAGAACUCGGGUGAAGGAACUAGGCAAAAUGGUGCCGUAACUUCGGGAGAAGGCACGCUGAUAUGUAGGUGAAGUCCCUCGCGGAUGGAGCUGAAAUCAGUCGAAGAUACCAGCUGGCUGCAACUGUUUAUUAAAAACACAGCACUGUGCAAACACGAAAGUGGACGUAUACGGUGUGACGCCUGCCCGGUGCCGGAAGGUUAAUUGAUGGGGUCAGCGCAAGCGAAGCUCUUGAUCGAAGCCCCGGUAAACGGCGGCCGUAACUAUAACGGUCCUAAGGUAGCGAAAUUCCUUGUCGGGUAAGUUCCGACCUGCACGAAUGGCGUAAUGAUGGCCAGGCUGUCUCCACCCGAGACUCAGUGAAAUUGAACUCGCUGUGAAGAUGCAGUGUACCCGCGGCAAGACGGAAAGACCCCGUGAACCUUUACUAUAGCUUGACACUGAACAUUGAGCCUUGAUGUGUAGGAUAGGUGGGAGGCUUUGAAGUGUGGACGCCAGUCUGCAUGGAGCCGACCUUGAAAUACCACCCUUUAAUGUUUGAUGUUCUAACGUUGACCCGUGAUCCGGGUUGCGGACAGUGUCUGGUGGGUAGUUUGACUGGGGCGGUCUCCUCCUAAAGAGUAACGGAGGAGCACGAAGGUUGGCUAAUCCUGGUCGGACAUCAGGAGGUUAGUGCAAUGGCAUAAGCCAGCUUGACUGCGAGCGUGACGGCGCGAGCAGGUGCGAAAGCAGGUCAUAGUGAUCCGGUGGUUCUGAAUGGAAGGGCCAUCGCUCAACGGAUAAAAGGUACUCCGGGGAUAACAGGCUGAUACCGCCCAAGAGUUCAUAUCGACGGCGGUGUUUGGCACCUCGAUGUCGGCUCAUCACAUCCUGGGGCUGAAGUAGGUCCCAAGGGUAUGGCUGUUCGCCAUUUAAAGUGGUACGCGAGCUGGGUUUAGAACGUCGUGAGACAGUUCGGUCCCUAUCUGCCGUGGGCGCUGGAGAACUGAGGGGGGCUGCUCCUAGUACGAGAGGACCGGAGUGGACGCAUCACUGGUGUUCGGGUUGUCAUGCCAAUGGCACUGCCCGGUAGCUAAAUGCGGAAGAGAUAAGUGCUGAAAGCAUCUAAGCACGAAACUUGCCCCGAGAUGAGUUCUCCCUGACUCCUUGAGAGUCCUGAAGGAACGUUGAAGACGACGACGUUGAUAGGCCGGAUGUGUAAGCGCAGCGAUGCGUUGAGCUAACCGGUACUAAUGAACCGUGAGGCUUAACCUUACAACGCCGAAGGUGUUU
rnacentral:rRNA from 1 species